rnacentral:rRNA from 1 species
AGCGAACGCUGGCGGUAUGCCUAAUACAUGCAAGUCGAACGAGAGGCGGACGGGUUAGGAAUACAUCGGAAUCUACUCUGUCGUGGGGGCUAACGUAGGUAACCUUACGCUAAUACCGCUUACGAUUGAAUGAGCCGUGGUUGGAUUAGCUAGUUGGCGGGGUAAAGGCCCACAAAGGCGACGAUCCGUAGCUGGUCUGAGAGGCUGAUCAGCCACACUGGAACUGAGACACGGUCCAGACUCCUACGGGAGGCAGCAGUGGGGAAUAUUGGGCAAUGGGCGCAAGCCUGAUCCAGCCAUACCGCGUGAGUGAAGAAGGCCUUCGGGUUGUAAAGCCCUUUUGUUGGGAAAGCGGUACCCAAAGAGUAAGCACCGGCUAACUUCGUGCCAGCAGCCGCGGUAAUUC